rnacentral:lncRNA from 1 species
UUCUUUGCCGAGUGCUAUGACCUUGACACUCGACAAAGUGACCAGAUUACCCCUUUUUAUUUGUUUUUUGUAUUCCAUCCAAACAAACAAAAGAUAUAUCACAUAAUCAUCACAUAUACAUCACAUACAUAACCGAGACCACAUAUUUUGCAAAAAAACACAAAACUCACAAGUUUUUCGCAAACAUGUCUAUGCUCAUACCAAGAUUCACCAACAUAAGUAUCACACAACUCUAAAACAUAAGUUUUUCACAAACAUAAGUACAAGACAAGUUUAUCACACAAGCUAAGAGAAGAUCAUGAGCGAGGUGGCGCGGCUGGACUGGUGCGACGAUGAGGGUUGUUGGAUACCGCGCUCAGAUUGUCCCUGCACAGAGAAGAGAUUGCAUGUGUUAUACCAGAUAAAUAUAUAUCAUGCAGGACUAGAAUUUUGAUACUCACAGUAGUAUGGAACUGAGCAGGGUCAACUCGAGGGAACAACAGAGGUGGUGGAGCAAAACUCUGUGCGGUGCCAAGGCUCUGCACGUAGUGGAACAUCUGCGCCAUCCUCUAUUGAUGUGCCAAGCGGGCCUCUCGCUCUGCCAUCAUCCUCGCCUCCAUCUCCUGUUGUUCCCUCAUUUCUUCUUCUAGCUGGGCCUAUAAUAUUUCAACCUAAUGCACUACAUGAUACACGUUGUAGUGUGUUGUCGAUCCCAAACACCGACACACAACUUAACAAAACACACUCUGGUAGCAAUCGUGCAUGGUGUUUUGUUUUCCACAUUGCCAUUAAACUUUCAUGCUAUAAUCCUUUAUUUGAGCAUAUGGACUCAUGUGCCCUACAUCGCACAUGGGACCUAAGUGCCCCCCUCGCGCCUAGCUAGGUCGCGAGUCAAUUCACCACACUUGUAUUUGGAAUGAGAAAUUUUACAUGUCAAUUGUGGUUACUGCUCACAAUAGGUUGGCUCUUUGGAGGGCACAACCAAUAUAUAAAGUUAAAACAACUUGAAAGAUAUACAUUGAAUCAUAUCUUACAUUGAAUCAUAUCUAGUACACUUUGACGACCCUUAGUUACUGUUAGGUUGUCUUCAACAGACUACCCAUUUGACUCCAUGUUACUGUCACUAUUUCAAACUACACUCUAUAAACAGUGCAGUUUACAAUGCAAAACAAUAUUUUGCACACUCUGCUAAGCACGACUUUAGAUUGUACCGGGGUCAAAGACAGUCCAUCGGGCCAUGCGCGGUGUGUGGCCCAUUUUUUAAUUUGAACUCUCCUCAAAAUUUGAAAAAAAACACACAUGAUUAAUAUGUCUCAUUCUAAUUGUAUUUAUAUAGUAUGUGUUCUAAAUAUUGAUUUAUAUUAUCUUUGCUACAUGUUUCAAGUAUUUACUAUAUGUUUUCCGCUGGGCUUAAAAUACUUGAUGAAGAAUAAAAAUAUUACUCUGUAAUGAUAUUUUUCGUAUGUUUACAUUAUGUUGUCGUGAAAUUUUUUAAAUAUAUUUUUGUAACAUGCUUUUUGUCAUAAGUCAGCUCUGAGCUUUAACGACCCAAGUUCCGC